rnacentral:lncRNA from 1 species
AUUUUCAUGUGUGAUGUUUAGUCCACAUUGGAAACGAAAAUGGUGUUUGUUGUUUUUAUAUAUUCGCUUGUUCUCAAGCUAGUUGCUUGGAAGAAAAUGAUAGUUAUGCUCUCGUUAAAUACACGCAUGGCACGAGCACGAGCCGGGCGGCGGCGCACGGGGGGUCCAUACACCCGGUUUAUUUUAUUUUUAUUUUAUCAAUUUUACCUUUAUUUUAAUCCUUAUCUUUAUCUUUUCCUAAUCCUAAUCCUUAUCCGUAUAAUCUUAGGCUUAUCUUGUUCUACACGGAUUUGACGCGCUGAAGCAAGAUUCUCACCUUGUGUGACACCCCAAUAGUCCCACAUCGGAUGGGAAUGAGGUUGUCAUUGUCUUUAUAAGAGACUUAGACACUAGUAAUAAUAACUGGGCUUAAGUAUUUUGGGCCGGUGGUUAGGCCCAACGAGUUAUUAUUGCUAGUGGGCUAGAUCAUUACAUUUAGUAUCAGAGCCGGUUCACCAGCUGGACAUGUGUGGUGAGUCUCGGCUGAGCCAGGGUCUGGAUGACGGGCUAACGAGAUGAGUCUCACAUCGCCUGGUGAUCUAGUCUCACAUCGGGCUUAAGCAUUUUGGGCCGGUGGUUGGGCCCAACGAGUUAUUAUUGCUAGUAGGCUAGGUCGUUACACCUUGGUUAUAAAUAUGGGGGCAAGGUUGCACGAGUUAAUCAAUAACCCGAGCAUACCUAAAGCCUCUCGUCUUUUCUUGCUUUCUGAAUUUUCGCCGAGUUUUCUUUUGUUGGAUCUUAAGCUUGUUGGGUUCGUUUUGCGCCACCCUGGAAGCGUGCCGACGGGAUAGAACGUGGUCGAUGUAUCGCUAGGAGUAAUUGUAGAAAGCCUCGCACGUGGAUGGACAAUUUAUCUUCUAGGACAGUGCUCUACACGCCUAUAUCCACGGGUCUUAUCUAAACCUUAUCUUUCCAAUAUUUUUGUUUAAUUUUUUUGAGGAAUUUUUUUAUAGUUGAAAUUGAAUUUUCGAAUUGAUCUUAAAGAAUAUUGUAAUAAAAGAUCAUAAAGUUUUUU